CAGCUGGACCGGACGGUCGCUCGCGUUUCGUCAAGAAGUGCGGGAGGAAAGUCCGAACUCCAUAGAGCAGUGUGCCGGAUAACGUCCGGGAAGCCGACUUCAAAGUCGGUUGACGGCUAGUGCCACAGAAAACAUACCGCCCGGGCGGCAACGCCGGGGUAAGGGUGAAAAGGUGCGGUAAGAGCGCACCGCCGCUGCAGCAAUGUAGCGGGCAGGGCAAACCCCACACGGAGCAAGACCAAAUAGGGAGGGAGUCUGUUCGCAGCGCAAGCUUCGACGGACGCGUGCCGGCUCGGCGCGCCACAACCUCCGGGUAGGUCGCUUGAGCUGCGCAGUAAUGCGUAGCCCAGAGGAAUGGCCGUCCUGUGGGAGAAAUCCCGCAGACAGAAUUCGGCUUAUAGGUCCAGCUGCUUU
rnacentral:RNase_P_RNA from 1 species